rnacentral:tRNA from 1 species
GUGAGGAUUGCCCAGCUCGGUCAAAGGCGCAGGGUUCAGGACCCUGUCUCUUAGGAGUUCGUGGGUUCAAAUCCCACUCCUCACA